UCAGUGUUUUUACCUAGUUUCAUUGUGAGAUCAUGACUGGGGCUUAGAAAUUGCAUUUCAUGCAAUAACGAAACCCUGUGAAUGGCGGUGCAGCCUCUGCCUCUAUGUACCAUUUACACAAUAAUGGAUGAGAGACAGGAUGCUGCUGAAUAAUCAAGCAAGUGAAAGGAACAGGAUGUGAAUGUUAAUGAAUGAGAGACCCAGCAAGAGAAAGCACGUCAGCACUAUUAGAUGUAAGUGAAUGCUGACAGAGUAAGCAAGUGAGAGACUGAAUGUGACUGAAAGAUAACAGACAGGCAGACUGAUACCUCCCAUUAUUGUCUCCAAGGAGCUGCAAUUUGCAAAACUUGCAACCAGUCAGCCUCCAGGACAAUGGACACACAGGCCAAUCUUCAGCAUGUGCAGUUUGAUAUAGGUGACAACUUUGUGGAACACUGAAGACAGGUUUCAUUGUAUUACAUUCUGUGAAGACCCAACUCAUAUUCAAAUAAAAGUUAUUGUAAAUUCUAUUUUAAAAA